GUAACUUCAAUCUCUCAUUUCUAAAAUAAAACAGAAAUAUUAAUUUGUGGUCAGAAAUAGCAACAAAGUAUACUUUCUAUUAAAGUAUGAGAACAACUUUGCAAAACUAUCCUUGGUAGUACUUUUGCAGUAUAUCAGAAAUGUUUCUUUUUUUGGUCAUCUUCUGACUACACUGUGAACCGAAUUAGUUACCUUAAAAAAAUAAAAGUUUUACUGGCUAUUUGCCUGUAAACAGACAUUCUUCUACCCCGGAGCAACAACAGAAGCUAAGAUCCCUAAAUGAAAAGAUGCUGUCCUCUCUCACCAUGGCUUUCCAUAAUUAGGAAUUUGGUCAGGAAUAAGAAUAACUUGAUUAUAGUCCAUGUUAUCAGACUCCUGUCAACGUCUUUCUCUCUUCCACAUGUUGAAUGACUUCCUGACUUAUUUUCUGUGUAUAUGUAAUGUUUGGCUGCCAUCUUGUGUGCAAUAACUCUUGGUUAUCAGAUCUUUUCUUCCUGUUACAUCAGAUAAUUCUUCUUAUUAUUUAAACUGUGCUUCUCCUGACUAACUUCUCUUUAGUUUCCUUUUCACUUUAGGCUACCAUGGGCAUAUUUUAAUCUUUUACAAUUCAUAAUUAAUUUUCACAUUCAGCCUAAUAGCUAAAU
rnacentral:lncRNA from 1 species